rnacentral:rRNA from 1 species
AAAUUGAAGAGUUUGAUCAUGGCUCAGAUUGAACGCUGGCGGCAGGCCUAACACAUGCAAGUCGAACGGUAACAGGAAACAGCUUGCUGUUUCGCUGACGAGUGGCGGACGGGUGAGUAAUGUCUGGGAAACUGCCUGAUGGAGGGGGAUAACUACUGGAAACGGUAGCUAAUACCGCAUAACGUCGCAAGACUAAAGAGGGGGACCUUCGGGCCUCUUGCCAUCGGAUGUGCCCAGAUGGGAUUAGCUUGUUGGUGGGGUAACGGCUCACCAAGGCGACGAUCCCUAGCUGGUCUGAGAGGAUGACCAGCCACACUGGAACUGAGACACGGUCCAGACUCCUACGGGAGGCAGCAGUGGGGAAUAUUGCACAAUGGGCGCAAGCCUGAUGCAGCCAUGCCGCGUGUAUGAAGAAGGCCUUCGGGUUGUAAAGUACUUUCAGCGGGGAGGAAGGGAGUAAAGUUAAUACCUUUGCUCAUUGACGUUACCCGCAGAAGAAGCACCGGCUAACUCCGUGCCAGCAGCCGCGGUAAUACGGAGGGUGCAAGCGUUAAUCGG